GGAUUAGAUACCCUGGUAGUCCACGCCGUAAACGAUGUCUACUUGGAGGUUGUUCCCUUGAGGAGUGGCUUUCGGAGCUAACGCGUUAAGUAGACCGCCUGGGGAGUACGGUCGCAAGAUUAAAACUCAAAUGAAUUGACGGGGGCCCGCACAAGCGGUGGAGCAUGUGGUUUAAUUCGAUGCAACGCGAAGAACCUUACCAUCCCUUGACAUCCACGGAAGCCAGCAGAGAUGCAGGUGUGCCUUCGGGAACCGUGAGGCAGGUGCUGCAUGGCUGUCGUCAGCUCGUGCUG
rnacentral:rRNA from 1 species